rnacentral:rRNA from 1 species
UACGAAGGGGGCUAGCGUUGCUCGGAUUGACUGGGCGUAAAGGGCGCGUAGGCGGCGGACACAGUCAGACGUGAAAUUCCUGGGCUCAACCUGGGGGCUGCGUUUGAUACAUGUCUGCUUGAGUUCGGAAGAGGGUCGUGGAAUUCCCAGUGUAGAGGUGAAAUUCGUAGAUAUUGGGAAGAACACCGGUGGCGAAGGCGGCGACCUGGUCCGAUACUGACGC